UGGCGAACUGGUGAGUAACACGUGGGAAACCUGCCCAGAAGCGGGGGAUAACACCUGGAAACAGAUGCUAAUACCGCAUAACAACUUGGACCGCAUGGUCCGAGCUUGAAAGAUGGCUUCGGCUAUCACUUUUGGAUGGUCCCGCGGCGUAUUAGCUAGAUGGUGGGGUAACGGCUCACCAUGGCAAUGAUACGUAGCCGACCUGAGAGGGUAAUCGGCCACAUUGGGACUGAGACACGGCCCAAACUCCUACGGGAGGCAGCAGUAGGGAAUCUUCCACAAUGGACGAAAGUCUGAUGGAGCAACGCCGCGUGAGUGAAGAAGGGUUUCGGCUCGUAAAACUCUGUUGUUAAAGAAGAACAUAUCUGAGAGUAACUGUUCAGGUAUUGACGGUAUUUAACCAGAAAGCCACGGCUAACUACGUGCCAGCAGCCGCGGUAAUACGUAGGUGGCAAGCGUUGUCCGGAUUUAUUGGGCGUAAAGCGAGCGCAGGCGGUUUUUUAAGUCUGAUGUGAAAGCCUUCGGCUCAACCGAAGAAGUGCAUCGGAAACUGGGAAACUUGAGUGCAGAAGAGGACAGUGGAACUCCAUGUGUAGCGGUGAAAUGCGUAGAUAUAUGGAAGAACACCAGUGGCGAAGGCGGCUGUCUGGUCUGUAACUGACGCUGAGGCUCGAAAGUAUGGGUAGCAAACAGGAUUAGAUACCCUGGUAGUCCAUACCGUAAACGAUGAAUGCUAAGUGUUGGAGGGUUUCCGCCCUUCAGUGCUGCAGCUAACGCAUUAAGCAUUCCGCCUGGGGAGUACGGCCGCAAGGCUGAAACUCAAAGGAAUUGACGGGGGCCCGCACAAGCGGUGGAGCAUGUGGUUUAAUUCGAAGCUACGCGAAGAACCUUACCAGGUCUUGACAUACUAUGCAAAUCUAAGAGAUUAGACGUUCCCUUCGGGGACAUGGAUACAGGUGGUGCAUGGUUGUCGUCAGCUCGUGUCGUGAGAUGUUGGGUUAAGUCCCGCAACGAGCGCAACCCUUAUUAUCAGUUGCCAGCAUUAAGUUGGGCACUCUGGUGAGACUGCCGGUGACAAACCGGAGGAAGGUGGGGAUGACGUCAAAUCAUCAUGCCCCUUAUGACCUGGGCUACACACGUGCUACAAUGGAUGGUACAACGAGUUGCGAACUCGCGAGAGUAAGCUAAUCUCUUAAAGCCAUUCUCAGUUCGGAUUGUAGGCUGCAACUCGCCUACAUGAAGUCGGAAUCGCUAGUAAUCGCGGAUCAGCAUGCCGCGGUGAAUACGUUCCCGGGCCUUGUACACACCGCCCGUCACACCAUGAGAGUUUGUAACACCCAAAGUCGGUGG
rnacentral:rRNA from 2 species